CACACGCACACACGCACUCGCACACACGUAACGCUAUAGUUUAGUUGUCUAAGAAAUAUUUUCUCUAGCAGCGUAAAACUCAUUUGCACUCCUCGCCACUAGGCGGCGACAUUAACCAGUGAAUUGCAGAGUGAACUCUAAGUGGAACUAGCGUGAGUUUUGCAAAACUGUUUACGACUUACGCUGGUAGAACUACGGUGCAACACUUGCCUUUCUUCUGUCAAUUAGAGUUCACAUUCAGCCCCUGCCUUGCUGCUUCAGACUGCAUUCUGCCGUGUUCGACUCCCUUUGGAGGAAAAACUGGAAACAAAACGCGUGGUGCCCACUGGCCACCAGCCUCGGGAUAUGGUCAUCACUCAAGUUUGCCCAGAGGAAGAGCCGCCGUCCCGCCUUUCUCGUAAAGAGCCCCCAGCCUCGAUGGAGUUUUUCUAAUUAAAAUAUGUGGCACCAGAGGACCUCUUCUGUCAUCUAUCUGUACCUGCUACAAUAGCAACUCGUACUGGAACAUUCUUUUUAAGUAAGUCUCAAACAAGGCAGAAUCGAUGCA